UACGUAGGGUGCAAGCGUUGUCCGGAAUUAUUGGGCGUAAAGAGCUCGUAGGCGGUUUGUCGCGUCUGCUGUGAAAACUCGGGGCUUAACCCCGGGCCUGCAGUGGGUACGGGCAGACUAGAGUGCGGUAGGGGAGACUGGAAUUCCUGGUGUAGCGGUGAAAUGCGCAGAUAUCAGGAGGAACACCGGUGGCGAAGGCGGGUCUCUGGGCCGUAACUGACGCCUGGAGGAAGCGA
rnacentral:rRNA from 1 species